rnacentral:lncRNA from 10 species
AGACGGCCCUAUCCCUGUCUCCCUUGGCUGACUCUCUUUUCGGACUCAGCCCGCCUGCACCCAGGUGAAAUAAACAGCCUUGUUGCUCACACAAAGCCUGUUUGGUGGUCUCUUCACACAAACGCGCAUGAAAUUUGGUGCCAUGACUCGGAUCGGGGUACCUCCCUUGGGAGAUCAAUCCCCAGUCCUCCUGCUCUUUGCUCCGUGAGAAAGAUCUACCUAGGACCUCAGGUCCUCAGACUGACCAGCCCAAGGAACAUCUCACCAAUUUCAAAUCUGGAACGCGCAUGAAAAAACCAAACAAACAAAAAAAUUUCUUUUGGUAGCAGAAUAAAAAAACAAAAAAAAGGACUUUUUCUUCUGGACUGAACUAUAUUUAAAUCUCAAAGGAUGGACAUCUCACAACCUUCCUACAGCAAGUACUGUGAGAGCUGCAUCUUGUCCCACUGGAUGGUCUUCAGAGACAAUAAUACAUAAUGGAGCUGUCAUCUCCUAUGAUAACAAUGCCUUCUUCUGGAUACCUCCUGAAGGACCUGCCUGAGGCUCUUUCACUCCAUGUAAAGGUGUGCUGCUUUCCCUUUGCCUUCCGCCAUUAUUGAAAGUUUCCUGAGGCCUCCCCAGCCAUGCUACCUGUACGACCUGUGAAACCAUAAGCCAAAAAAGAUACUAGCGCCAGUCUGGCAGGGGCCUUUUCUAGUCUCAAGCACGCUGAGCAGUCCUACACCUUGCCUUCUGAGAGAGAAGAGGACAGUCCUCAGCCUCCUGAAGCCUGGCAAGGGUGCCUUAGUGAGGACAUCACCUGCAACUCCCAGAUGGAUAGACGAGGCCAUGGAGAGAGGAGAACACCAACCCAUGAGUGACAAGUGCCUGUCAUUGUCAAUGAUGCUGCAAGCACCACGAUGCCCCUUCUUAGCAGGGACCCAGUGGGCCUUACCAGCUUCAUUAUUUUCUAGGCAUGAUCGCAUCCUGUCUCCCAUUUUUGCUAAAAUUCUAUCUAGAGAAAGAGCUCAUUUUUAGCUAAAAAAAAAAAAAUCCUGUUUUAUCUGCUAAAAAAUCACAUAAAAUAACUAUUGGACUGU